GUACAGACGGGGUUCACCGCGGCUCACGGAGGACUGACGAGUCCCUGCGUGGCGUGACUGACGUCCUCCCAGGGUGGACACUGGUUCAGCCACGCUCCCGUCAUGCAGCUCGCUUACUCAGUCUGGUUUCAUCAGACCUCUCACACUUUACUGUGCUGCUCUAAGAGCUAAAGGCUCAACAGCCACCUUCGAGGCUUUCGGGACGGGAAACGAGCCAGGCUGCGCUCCAUCUCCGUGGGCGGGGCGGGUUCCCACCGGUCUGGCCAGUCCCUGUCUCCCGGGCCUGACCUCUCCUCACGCCCGCCCCCCUGCCCCUAGGGCCGCCCCCCAAGACUCUCAGUCCCGGCACAGUCACUGGCAGAUCUGCGACGGGCACCACCUGCUCCAGCGGCAGCAGCCGGCCCUCUACCGGGACGAGCCCCAGGCGCCCGGGAGGGCAGCCAGCCUCGGAGUGCCCCUCCUGCCCCUCAGCCUCAGCCUUCUGACCUUCCCACAGGCCAUCCUGCGUGUCUCGGUCACUCGGUGUUUUUGGCUUGGCUUUGUGAUCUGUACCUGCCAUGGAGAACAUCAGUAAACACGAGUCACAAUCAAGAUCUCUGGCGAAAGGCCUGGGGUGGGAGGAGCCUGCGAUGGGAGCUGUUUCCCAGAGAUUCAGCCCACCUUGCCUUGCAAGCGCAAGGUUCCAAGUUCGAUCCCCGGUACCAAAAAAAAAAAAAAAUCCACCCCUUUACAGUACAGGAGUAAGUGUUCUUAGGGUAUUUGCAAUGUGGAGCAACCAUCACCACUGUCUGUCCCCCGCACUUCCGUGGCCCCACAAGGAAGCCGCAUCCGGCUCCCAGAAGGCACCACCCUCUGUCUUUGUGACCUGCGCUGUGGACCCCAUGCGGUGUUCGCCCUCGGCAGCAGCACCCCUGGGCCGCAGUGGCUGUAUGGACUCGGAGUGUGUGGUCCUGUCUUGCUGACCUUCCCCCUGUUCGGGGGAGCGGGUCGGGCUGUGUGUGGGGUGAUGCGGUGGCCGUGGCCCCCUAGUCCAGGUUGGGUCUCAGACCGCUGGCCCUGGGCGUGCAGGCAUCCUCUGGAAGCUUGGCGCUGGGCUCCACAAGAGGGCGCUGUCUGAAAGUCUUCCGUGCGCUGGGAGUGACGCAGCCGUUCAGGAGGGUUUGGGGCGCGUGCUCCUGUCUUCCCAAACAUCUAGAGCUCAAGGAGUGCAGAAAAUUCUGACCUCCCUACCCACCCGACCACCCAACCACCCAGCCACCCAGCACCCACCCACCUCCUCCCACUGUCCUCACCAUUUAGCGGGCAGGGACCAAGUAGCCCAGCCCUGUCCACGAUUCCUCUGUGAUCAUGGAAAGCCACAUGUGGUCACUGAGGGAAACUGAGGCUCAGGGAGGUUAAGGAACUUGCCCAGGGUCAUGGGGCUCACAUACAGCUGAGGCAGCAUUCGAACCCAGGCCUUGUGGUGCAGGGCCCAGGCUUUACAUGCGCCACGGUCUCAGGUCAGGUCCGGGUGGGUGAGGGACAUUCAGCGGCCAGCAGGGAAGGAGAAGGCUCCUUGUCCCCCUGGACUGGCCCCUGUGGUGUCCGAGCUCCUCAGCGCUUCCAGGCUGGGGCUGAGAGCCUGUUAUUGUGCUUUUGGCAUGGUGGGCACCAGCCUGGCCAUUGCAUAGGCAGCACACAGGGCACCAGGUCACCGGCCCGUGCCCCUCCUCAGGCUGAGAGGGACAGAAGGGCACAUCCGGGUGGGGAUCACCUGGCCGCAUUCUUCGUGCUUCCCCAGUCUCUGCUUCUAUAGGCUGAUCUGAUGGAGGAGGCCUUGACCCAGCCUCUGAGCCACACCCCAGGAGACUGGCUUCUCCUGGCCCCACCCAGCUGCCACCCAGCUGCUUCCUUGGGCAGCGAAGGGCCACUCCACCUUCUCUCUCCAUCCCAGGGGCGGAGGAUGUCAUCUGCAGUCUCGGCCCUCUGGAUCAAAACACGAUGCUUGCCCUUCCCAGGAUGGGGAACAGCGCCUGCACUGCUGCGGUGCUGUGUCCCCACCACACCUGUGGUGUCGCAUUUAUGACACAAGUGUUUCCCUCUCGCACCCCUGAGAAAGGUCACUGGCUUUUAGCCCCCAGUGAGUGUCUUUCCAUGUCAGAAGCAGACACUCAGCAGCCCCAGUGCAACCCAGAGCAGAGAGCCCUUCCUGCUCGGGUUCCCUGGGCCUCCUGAGCCGAGGGCCUGGCCCAGAGAUGCCUGGGCCCUGCCGGGCUGUCCUGGCACCAGUGCAAUUGUAGGAGCAGGUUUAUGUGUCGCUUGCGUCAAGGGCUCCUUCCUUGCAGGGAGGCCCAGCCCUAACUGGAGAGUGGAAGUUGGGGUCCUGCUCUCUUCCUGGGAGGUGAUCUCUGGCCUGGCUCUUGGGCGCAGCAGCUCCCUAGGGGCCCACCCGCCCGUGUCACUCACCAAGGUCCAGCGCUGUGGCAGUGGGGAGCUGCACCGUGAAUGGCCAUGAUGUCACUUGGGACCUGCCCAGUUGGCCAAAUCCCACCUGGUUGUGCUGCCCUCCACUGCCCUUGGCCUCUGUUUGCUGAACCCCUCUCAGCACCCGCUUUGGAGAGGAGGUGCUUGUUCCUCAGCUGCAAUUGCUGCCGAGUGGAGUGGGGUGCUGUCUCUUCUCAGUGUCCACAGGAGGAAGAGACGGCAGGGGGAGCUUGAUGGCCAUGUGCAUUGUCAGUGUGGCUGGAGCAGGCAGGAAAGUCUGGAGGGGUCCUGGAAGGGAUGAGGGGACCCCUUAGGGCACCCUGCCUCUGCUCUGCCCAGCUGGGCUGGCAGCUCCGGGCCAGUGGGGUGGGGAGGCUUCUGCUGGUUGCAUUGUGGCUAUCCUAGCCUGGUCCUGCCAGCCUGGGAGCCCUUGUGCAUGAGUGAUGGGAGCGGGCGUGUCCAUGCUGUGCUCCAUAGGGGUAUCGGACGCUGUGGCUGUCUGGGAAGUGGGCUGUUUGAGGCUACUUAUCCAUAAAUUGCCACUGGGUCAGGACUCUUGGUCGUAAAGAACAGGAAAGCUAAUUCAUGUUGACUUAAGCUAGGAGGGAAUUUGUUAAUUUACAUAAUGGAAAAGUCUAGGGCCCUGAUGGCUUCAGGGGCAGCUUGAGCCAGGGAUGCAGACAGUGUUGGCAGGACCCAGCUUCUCCUCACAUCAUGCCUCUGCGGCCCUCUAUACCACUGGCAGGCAGGUAGUUUUGAAAAAUAGCUGUGAGGAUCUCUGGGUUUGCACCAAAGUAGUGCCAAUUCAGUAGAAAAAAGAGACACUCUUUCCCAUUGUUUCCCACCACUAAGAAGGGAUCUGGAGUUGGCUGAUUGGCCUUGUUGGGGCCACCAGCACUGUGGCUGAGGGGAGGUGCUGCUCUCAGGCACCUUGCAGCCCUGCUGCUGUGGGACAGUCGUCCCGAGCUUAGUGACUUAGAGGGUCCUCUGGUUUCUUUAGCUGGGGAGUCUGCAGUGUGGGCGGUGCCCAGCUGAGAAGUCCCCUCUGCCCCAUGUGGCAUCAGCUGAGCCAGCCCAGGCUGGGGCUGAUGAUUCCGUCAAGAUGGUGAAGUGGGAUAGCUGUCAGGCCAGGCCUGGCGCUGUGUCUGUGGCCUUCCCUGCAGGCUGGGUGUCCCUGGGCACGGCCGUGAGUGUCCCAGGAGACCGGCAGUGGCAGGCUGACCUGCAUCUCUUCUGCUGUGGUCUACGGGCCAAGCCACUCCAGAACCCAGGCACCAGGGAAGGGGAUGCAGGCCCUCUCUAGAUAGCGGACCAGAUUGGGCUCUCCGUGAGGCAGAGGUGGCCCUCCGUCCUCAGGGUGAGGCCCGAGAAUGGCGGUGGGGUCUCCUCUUGGCAGAGGCCAAUUUCAGACUCAGGAGAAAAAGCCUCGGGAGGCAGAGGUGCUGCACAGUCUCCAGCUCCACUCUUACGGCCUCGUGAGCGUCCUGGUGCCCAGCACCUGGGGUUGACUCUGAGAGGUGAGGACACUGCAGGACCUCACAGAGAAGCCCAGGGGCUCCCCCCUGGGCAGCACCCUGUUCUGGGGACUUGGAUGUCCAGGCUUCACGCACCUUGACCCGCCCGGCCUGGACCUGCCACAGGAGGAGCCGUGGACGUGGCCCUGCGUGGAUGUGGCUCAGACUCCUCCAGCAUGGUCUCCACGCGCCUGUGUGUGCAGCCCCGCACCCCUGAAGGGACAGAUGGGGCACAGGACUGCAGCCUCUCAGAAGUGUGGGGAGUGCAUUGGUCAGGGCAUGGGGGAGGUUGUGGGCAGGCCUCCUGGUGGCCGGGAUGAGCAAAGAGCGGGGAGCAGCACCUGAGGGGUGGGGUGUGGGGCUACAGGAUCUUUUUGGGGCUAACAGUGGUUUGUUUGCUUAUUUAUUGAUUUGUUUCUGCAGUGCUGGGGAUGAGCCCAGAGCCUUACACUGAGCUACAUCACCAGCCCUUUCAUUUUUUUUUCUGAGACAGAGUCUUGCUGACUUGCCCAGGUGGGAUUCGAACUUGUGAUCCUCCUACCUUAGCCUCCCAGAGUGCUGGGAUCACAGCUGUGCUCCACAAGCCCAUCUGACUGUGUUUAAAAUGCCUGGCGAUUUGGAGCAGGAGGAGGUCCUGAGCUUUCCUCUGAAUUGAUUCUCAGGACUACCGAGCACCUCACAAGAGGACCCCCUCUCUCCGGGGAGAGCCCCGCCCCUGUGCUUUGCUUGGGGACCCUCAGGUCCCUUCCUGUUGGAAGUGGUUCCCAUAUUUGACAGGCUUCUGGACAGAGGCAUGGCUGGAGCUCUUGGGUGUGGGGUGACCUGCUUUCCUUCUGGGGAUUGGCUGGCUCAUUUGUCCUGGGAACAGCAGGGCCACCCGCCCCAGGCCCGCCUGUGGUGCUGGCCGAGCAGCUGUGUGCUCUCACCAGUGCCAGACAUGGGAUCAGAGAGGUCACUGGUAGCUGCACAGUGGAAGGCAGCAAAACGCUUCCCAGCCAAGGGACAGAGCAGUCUGCAUGUGGAGCCAGCAGGCGAGUGGAGGGUCACUCAGCAGCUCUGGGCCUGCUGGGCCCUUGGGGUCACCCACACAGUUCCAGAUGUGCUGCUGACUUCUGGCUGCAGCAGGUGGACAGUGUCCAGGGUCUGAGAAACACAUGCUAGAGGACUCCAUUGCACCAGCAGCUUCCUGUAAGCGACAGGUGUUUCCUUCCCCGCAGAACUCAGCCACUGUCCCUUCCCUCAGAGGCCCUUCCUUCAGCCUUCAGAGGUUAGGACUGGAUGUCUUCCGGAGGUUGUUACCCUGCAGCCCACACUCCCUGAGGAGCCUGCCAAAGAGCCUGAUGGCACAGUCACCUACGUGACCCUUCUGGAAGGUCCUGAAGCUGUGAGGCAGUGCCGAGCCCGGGGCUGCCCCUUGUCAGGAGGCCAGGACAGUCAGACACUGGGCCUCUGUUACCGCAGAGGACAGGCCAUGAAGGCCAGACCUCGGAGGACCCGGCUGCUGACGCUUGGUGACCACAGCUGUCUCUGCCACAUGCACCUUGCCGCCUGAACUCGAUGCAGUCCAGACGGGAGCUGUUUCCCUGUGCCUGCUUUCAAGUCAGGAGAGUGAGCGGGGUGUGGGGGUGCACCCCUGUGGUGCCAGCACCCUGGGGGGCUGAGGCAGGAAGGAUCACAAGUUCUAGCCUGGCCUGACCAGUUUAGAGACUUAGUGAGACCCUGUCUCAGAAAAUAAAAAUGGAGCUCAUUGUGAAGGCCCUGGGUUCAAUGUCCAGGACCACAGGGAAAAAAGAGGGGGAGAGGGGAGGGAGGAGGAGAGAAAAGCUCCCCGAGAGCUCCAGCGCUUGUUUCCUGCCACGUAGCUCCUCAGAACCAGAGCUGGGGGCCCAGCCCACGUCUGAAUGGGAGGCUGGCUGUACCCGCAGGCAGCACUACCUCACACCUGUCGUACCUGGGCAGCCCUGGAGGGAGGCUUUGCCCAGAGAGGUUUAGCCACUUCUCUGGUCCCAGAUGCCUCAUGUGGCCUCCGAGGCCCCAAUCCCAAGAAGUCCUGUCAGGAGCUUUGCUGCCCGUGAUGGCUCAGGUCCCACACUGCAUCUGGUAGCUCCAUCCUGAUGGUGGUUCAUGGGCUCCCAGGCCCUCCCCUCUGGGUCUGCCAGACUCGGCUGUGCUCGGUGGGCUCUGUCUGCUGAGACCCCGUCUCCACCCCUGGACAAACUCACCCAGUGGGCCUUGUGUGCCCCUGCUUGGCAUGGUGAGGGAGGGAGUGACUUCCGGAGCCCGGCUCUCCCCAUGCGCGGCUGGGGUCCCAGCGGCUCCUGUGCCCUCGGGGCUCAGUCUGUGUCCUGAGGGACAGGGGUGUGUGUGGGGGCCUGUGUGGCCUGCACCUGACCCGCCUGCUGCCCCAGCCCUGCCCUGUGCCCACUGCAGGCCCUGUCUGCUUCCCAGGACUCUUGGCUGACCCGCAUUGCCCCAAGGUGGCCUCAGUGCCAGGGCUGGGGCAGGGAGUGCCCAGGAUGGCUCUGUGAUCAGCUGGUGAUGUCUGCCGCAGGCCCGGGCUGGGCUUGUGUGCGAGCCUUGUGGGUCUUCAUCGCUCCCCAGUGACUCCCCGGUGUUUGGCACAGGGUGGCGUGGGUAUCCACUGUUUCCUCUGAGGGGUGUCACGCUGGGGGGUUGGAGAGCCCACCAGAGGGACGGGAAACUUCCUGUCCUCUCUCUUGCUGUUUCCAAGGGAGACCGCCCACUGAGGGCACCGUUUUCAUGUUAACACAACAGACCAGGCCGAACCGGAGCAGGGAAGGUGCUGGCACCCGGAGGAGGCCAAGCCUGGCAUUCCACCUCGGGGAGCAUUCUGUUGCCUCAGCACCUGCCAAGCAAGUGUGUCCUUUCCAGACAUCCCACACUCGGGGAGAUCCCAGCAUGCCAGCCCCACCAACCCUGCCCACUGCUCCCCCAGGUUCCACUUUACUCAUCCAACAGAUUUGUGAAUCCGACCUUUUUAAAAAGGGAAAGAUUUAAAAACUGUGUGCACAGCGCGUCCGCUCUCUUCUGUGUGCCCUGCUCCUGUACGUGCAUAGUUGCCUGGGGGCUUGGGCCACAGCCUGGGGCACAGUGUCCUUCGGAGCUGCUUUCUGGGCAGGGCGCUGUGCCUGGGUAUCAGGCCAGGGCUCCUGGUGCUGCCACAUCGGCAUUUCAAAUGCUGAGACUGGCUGGUGGCCCUGGAGGGUCAGCCCCACCCAAAGGCUCAAAGCGUCCACUGUGCCUUGGUCCAUUAUCUCACAGGCUGUGAAAUAGGCUGACAGAGAUUUUGAAUUAUGAACGUCCAUACAGGGACUUCAUUUACUUCUUUUUUCUUUUGGUACUGGGGACCGAACUCGGGACCUUGCACUUACAAGGGAGGCAGCGGAACCACUGAGCUAAAUCCCUGGUCCGUUUUUUUUUUUUUUUUUUUUGGUACCUCGUUUACUUCUCAUAGCAACCCUGAGGUUAUUGUCUUGCAGCUUUUCAGAGUAGGUCUGCCAUGGCUUCGCAGCACCACAUGGUCCUGCAUGGGGUUCCAAGGCCACAGGGGCCAAUGGGGCUGCGGUAGCAGGGAUCUGUUCUGAGACCCUGAUUCUCUGUGAACAGUUUUUUUUUUUUGGUACUGGGGAUCGAACUCGGGACCUUGCACUUUUGAGGCAGGGGCCAAAACCACUGAGCUAAAUCCCCGGCACCGUGAACAGUUUUUUUUUAAUGUCAAUUGUAUUUUCUCCUGUAUUUUUGUGGACUCCUAUCAGUCUUAGGUUAUUCUUCUUUGCAUCACCUAGCAGCUGCUGGACUGAUUUCUCAUGGUCCCUUACUAUCUUUAAGAAAUCUCUGUUUUCAUGGUCCUUAACCGCAAUCCUGUCUUCUAUAUCUGAUAUUCUAUCUUCAGAUUCCCUUAAUCUGCUAUGCAUGCUUUCAAUGGAGUUUUUAAUCUCCUGAAUAUCUGUUUGAAUCUAUUUCAUGGAUUCCAUUUCUUUCUUAUGUUGGGCGAUCAUGGUUUAUAUUUCUUUCUUAUGCUGGGCAUUCAUGGCUUUCAGCAUAUUUUUGAGCUCAUCUAUUUUUUUAUCUGUUUCUGUUUUAGAGCCUCUAAUUAUGUCUUUCACUCUGCUCACCAUGUCUGUAGUUAUCUGGGAGAUUAUGUCUGCUUUGAAUUUUUCUAGAGUCUCAUUCAUCUGUUUUGUUACUUCCUGUGCUAUCAGUUCAGCCUGUCCAGGUGGUUGAUUAUCGGACUUUUCCACCCCAUUUCCCCAAAAAUUGCCUUUUGUAGGGUGGAAGCCUGGGUUUGUGACUUGCUUAAAUGUCUUUUUCAUUUUUGUUUCUGGUACUGUCACUUAUAAGCCAAUGAGUCCCAGUAAGCCAGUCACAGACCCCUGAGAUUCAGACAGACUUCUGGCUGCAAGUCCCAAAUUGAGCUCCCCGCCCUCCCACAGGGCUGAACUCUGCAAGGCUCUACUACAGGUUCCAGCUGCCCUUCCCCUGAAGAUAGUCCAGGAUCAAGUGGGAGGUGAUGAUCCCUCCAACUUACCAAGCACGGUGGUCUGGUGUGCCUUUAUUGCAGAGAUUCUUUUCACUUUUCCAGUGGGAUUCAGUUUUCAUCAGGGAGCCUGAGAGAGGCCUCUCUCUGCUGUUCACCUCUGCAACUCAGGACAAUGGCCUUUAUGUCCCCCUGUGCCUCUGUAAUGUGGAACUGGGUAGCUGCACAGCCAAGAGGCCAGAGGCAGCGGUGGUGGUGGGGCUGGCUGUUGUUACAGGUGCCUGUGGGGCCAAGCCAGUGGCCGGUGGGCCUGCGGGGUGGGGUGGGGGUGUCCUCACCGUUUCCUGGAUGCAAGUGGGCUGACGCUGAUUCUCUUUAAUGCUGCACCGGCAUCUCUCCUGCUGGAAGUUUUUGGGAACAAGUCUUUACCUACCUGUUCUUGUUGGAUCACGGGUCAUGGCAGCCUCUGGAUGUGUGUCUCCUACUGGGGCAGUCCCCACUGUCUGCAUGUGUAAAGGAAGGUGCACACAUGCAGGGUGCCAGGUGUGGGAGUGAGUCAGCCACCCAAGCGCUGGCUCAUCUGCCUCCCGGCCCUGGUGCAGGGCUCUGCCCCUCUCUGGCUUUGUCAGCCUGAGGUACAGAGGCUGGUGUCAUCUGAGCCUGCACUGACUGGGGUGUGAGCAGCUCUCCACUCACUCCUGCUGUGAUGUCCCCGGCCCCAGACUCUGCUCCUUCCUCCCCUGUCCCCUGCCUGGAGUAGGAGGAGGCCCUGGGAGUCCAGCGUGCUCUGAGGGCCUUUCUGUCCUGGGCCGGGAGGUGGCACUGAGGUCCUCACCGUGGCACGGGUGAAGUGUGGGAAGCCAACAAGUGUGAAGCACAUCACACUUGAACAGUGGUCCUGCAAAUCAUUGGCUUCUGUGAGCUGGGAGGGCCAUGGCCAACCCUCCUGGGCCCCCGAUUUUAUCAGUCAACAGAACUGGGGCUUGAGAGAUGCAGAUGCACAUCUGUGGGCACUGCUGUCCUCCCCAGAGGGCCUGGCUCUGCAGACCCCUGAGAGAUGGUGUGUGGGGUUAUGGUUUAUAUCUGUGGAAGGCCAUUGGAUUAGGGGCUUAUAGCAGAUUGCUCUUAGGAGGCGGCUCCUGAUGGGAAGGGGCGGGUCACUGUGGGUGUGACCGGAAGUUCACAUCUCCCUUCCCGUUUCUUCCCUGACGCGCUACUUCCUGUUCACCAUGCCUCGAGCCGCUCUCCUCCCCGAGGCUCCUCUGCCCUGCCGUUCUGCCUCAGAGCCUGCCGACCACCAACCGACAGACGAGCAGUAUAAACCUCUCCUCCGGUUGAGUCGGUGUCGAGCACGGUGUCCCAGCGAGGAGAAGGCAGAGCCGCUGUGCGUCAGGACGCUGGUGCCCCCAACAGAACCACAGUGCGGUGCCCAGGAGGGUCUUGCUGUGUAGCCCAGGCUGGCCCCGAACUCACAAUGAUCCUCCUGCCAGGGCCUCCAAGGUGCUGGGACUACAGCCACGAACCACCGUGCCUGCCCACAGAUGGCAGGAGAGUUUGUGAUUUGCAGGAAAAUCGGGCAGUGAGUACAGAGAUCCUCUGGACAUGCACAGUGUCCCUGGGCACCUGUGACCUGUGAGGACCGGCACCGCCCAUGGGCACUUCCCGAGGGCCACGGUUUCCGGCCUCUCUCCUGUGUCCCGACUGCGUCCUGACCCACGCCCACCCCACAGUGCCCACUGACAGUGCCCCUCCAGUCCUGUCGCCCGCUCAUCCCUCCUACCACGAAUGCAGCGUCCUGACAUCUGGGCUUUUCCAGAACGGCAUAGGGUUGGACCACAGUACACAGCCCUGCAGACCGGCUGCUUUCGUACGCAUUCUUGCUGAAGGCUCCUCUGUGUCUCCUGGGAAACAUUUUAUGGGAGCAAAGCAUGUGUGCAGAAGAUGCAUGAUUACAUGUGCGGGGUCCCGGACUGCCAGGCUCGGGGCUCCGGGGCUCCGGGGUAGCCGGCCCCCCAGCCGGAAGCCACUGUGGCCAGUACUGGGAGUCCCGUGUUCACUGCCAGACCCUGCCCUGCUUGCCGGAGGCCACCCUGCUCCCCACGCCUGAGUCCACAGUGGGGACGUCCGUGGCCAGUCUGUGGCCGGUGUCCCGCACUCAGCACUGUGCUGCGUGGCCGGGAGUGGUGUCCCGUGGUAGGAAGGGCCUCUGCUCGUGGUCUUAGCCCCAGCCUCCUUGGUGAAGUACGGGCGGCUGCAUGGAUCACUCCGGCCUUUGGUCCAAGUUCUCUGUUGGCCCUGGCUCCUGAGUGGCCACGCUGCCUCUGAACCCUGGCAUGGGGACUGAGUCUGCUGGACUGGAGCAGGAGAAACGCAACCACAGAGCCCAAGGAUUCAGAAUCUGCCAGAUUACGAAGGGCCCAAUCUCAAUAGUUUUUGCCUAAACUUACACUUAGAUUAAUUUUAGUGAAUAUCCCAUUGGUAAUUAAACGUAUCCAUUUAUAUAUUUAUUUAUUUAUUCUUUCUGUCAUUUUUAAUUUUUAUUUAUUUAUUUAUUUUUGGUACUGGAGAUCGAGCUCAGGUCCUUGUGCUUGCGCAGCAGGUGGAGAAACCACUGAGCUAAAUCCCCGGCCCUUUCUGUCAUUCUUUAUUAGCACGUUUGCAGUACAUACAGUCAUAUCGAUCGUGGGGAGUCGGUGUGUUUCUGUAACACUUCUUAAUUCUUUCUUCCUCCUCGUCCCCCCACCUCUUGGUCCCCUUCCCUUUUGGAAAUGAUCCCUCUGCCUGUUUUCUAUCACCUGUCUUUUGUUUUUCUCUUUAAUUUAUUUAUACUCUGGGUUUCUCAUAGAAGAGAAACCAUGUGAUAUUUAAGCUUGUGUGUCUGAUUUAUUUCACUUAACAUUAUGGUCUCAAGGUGCACCCAUGUUCCUAUAAAUGACUCAAGUUUAUCUUUCUUUAUGGCAGAGUAUUACCCCACUGUGUGUAAAUGCCACAUUUUAUUUAUUCAUUCUGUUCAUGGGCAUAUAGGCCACUUCCAAGAUUUAGCUGUUGUGAGUUUUAUUGCUGUAAACCUGGGUGUGCAUGGAUCCCUGCAGUAUGAUGUCUUUAACUCUCUCGGAAGGGGGAGUAGCUGGGUCAAUGGAAGUUCUAGAUCAUCUGCUCCAUUAAGUGUAAUCUGAGUGGUAUUCUCUGCAUGCAGUCAGUGGUUACUUAGUGAGAUGUGCCCACACUGGCUGGGGGGGGGCCCUGGGGGCAGAGCCUUGCUGUUAGGUUUCCGUAGGGGCAUGAGUUGCUGCCAUCCCCGAAUGUGCAUGGUGUGCAGAGCCCAUGCCCAGGCCCAGUGUGCAUUUGCUGAGCUUGGUCCCUGUCCCUGAUGGUCUCAUUUUACGGAUGUGGAAGAAGGGGGCAGCUGAAGCAGUGAGCUCUGCUACAUAGUAGUCUGCUUGUCGCUGUGACAGAGCACCAAGGAAAUCGGUGUGAGGGAGAGAGGGUCUUUCUGGUUGGUUGGCUCUGUCCCUCUUAGGCUGGGUGAGGUCACAGUAUCACAGUGAACGGGCCCAGAGUUGCAGGGCACCGAGGGCCGCCUGGGGACAGUGCCUGUUUCACUGCUGCAUUGUGGAGGGGCAGGCCGUGUUCAUCCUGGACAGGUUCCGGUGCAGAAGAGUGGUUCUGUCUGCCAGGCCAGGGCAGCAGAUGCCACUGGGUGUUGGCCACGACUGAGUCCUCUCGCUCAUGCUGGUCCUGCGUCCCCUUCCUCCAGGAUCCCGUCUGGGGGUGACUCCUGAAGCCCCAGGUGCAGGGGACAUUUCCCGACCCACCUCCCCGGUGGGGCCUCUCAGACGGAACGUAUCGGAAGCCCAGCUGCUCCAGCCUCCUCCUUGCCAAAGUGAUUUUAGAUAUGUUACGACUGACAAACAGCACAACCCAGUUCAGAGGGAAAAAUCUCCCCUCUAUUGGAAUAGAGGAAAUUGGGGAGGAGGUAGGUUUUAUUUUUCACUGUUACUUUUGAAAUGAUUAUAGAUUCACAGGAAGUUGCAAAAGUUGUACGCAGGGUCUCCCAGGUCCUCCUCCAGCUCCCUGCAAUGGCGACAUUUUACUUAGCAGCAGUAAAACAGCAAGACCAGGAAAUUGACAUCAGAAUGAGACUCCAGGCCUUGCUCGGAUUUCGCCUGUGUGCGCACGUGCACGUGUGUGUGUUUCUGUGCACGUGAUCUCUUGCAGAGGCUCACGUUACCGCUGCCACCAUCAGGACACUGGGCAGCUUCACUGCCAGAAACCAGCUUCCUGGCGCCCCCGGGAGGGGACCUGCAAACCAUGAGUGGACAAGACGCGCUGUGCGCACUCACUGUACGGCCCCGACUUCUGGAGUGAGUGUACACUGCGGAACAGCUGCGUCAAGCUGAGGGGCGAUGCUGUUUGUGCACUGUGAGGACACCCCAGAUUGGCUCCCUUUGCAGUCUCGAAGUGGUUACGCACUUGGUCACUACCGUCGCCGCAUCCUGCCACAGACCCCUCGAAGCUGUUUCUCUUGUGUGACUAAAAUUGUGCCCUUGACCGACCAGGCACACCAUGUUUUUAGCAGCACAAUAGCUAAGUCUUGGAAGCAGCCUAUACGUCCAUCAACAGAUGAACGGAUAAAGAAAAUAUGCUAUUUACACACAACGGAGUACUACUCUGCCACAAAGAAGGAUAAACCAAAGUCAUUUGUAGGAACAUGGAUGCACCUUGAGACCAUAAUGUUAAGAGAAAUAAAUCAGACACAGAAGGUUAAAUAUCACAUGGCUUCUCUUAUAUGUGAAACCCUGAGUAUAAAUAAAGAGCAAAAUAAGAGAUAGAUCAUAGGUAACAGGGAGAUGGAUGUUUUGGAAAUAGGAAGGGAG
rnacentral:lncRNA from 1 species